rnacentral:rRNA from 1 species
AUUGAACGCUGGCGGCAGGCCUAACACAUGCAAGUCGAGCGGAUGAAGGGAGCUUGCUCCUGGAUUCAGCGGCGGACGGGUGAGUAAUGCCUAGGAAUCUGCCUGGUAGUGGGGGAUAACGUCCGGAAACGGGCGCUAAUACCGCAUACGUCCUGAGGGAGAAAGUGGGGGAUCUUCGGACCUCGCGCUAUCAGAUGAGCCUAGGGCGGAUUAGCUAGUUGGUGUGGUAAAGGCCUACCAAGGCGACGAUCCGUAACUGGUCUGAGAGGAUGAUCAGGCACACUGGAACUGAGACACGGUCCAGACUCCUACGGGAGGCAGCAGUGGGGAAUAUUGCACCAUGGGCGAAAGCCUGCUCCAGCCAUGCCGCGUGUGUGAAGAAGGUCUUCGGAUUGUCAAGCACUUUAAGUUGGGAGGAAGGGCAGUAAGUUAAUACCUUGCUGUUUUGACGUUCCCAACAGAAUAAGCACCGGCUAACUUCGUG